rnacentral:rRNA from 1 species
UACGAAGGGGGCUAGCGUUGUUCGGAAUCACUGGGCGUAAAGCGCACGUAGGCGGAUCUUUAAGUCAGGGGUGAAAUCCCGAGGCUCAACCUCGGAACUGCCUUUGAUACUGGGGAUCUCGAGUCCGGGAGAGGUGAGUGGAACUGCGAGUGUAGAGGUGAAAUUCGUAGAUAUUCGCAAGAACACCAGUGGCGAAGGCGGACUCACUGGCCCGGAAC